UCCUCUCCACGAUGUCAUGGCUUUGAUGU
rnacentral:piRNA from 1 species